GGGGAAUAUUGGACAAUGGGCGAAAGCCUGAUCCAGCCAUGCCGCGUGUGUGAAGAAGGUCUUCGGAUUGUAAACUUCUUUUAUCUGGGACGAAAACGGGAUUUUUAUCUCAAUUGACGGUACCAGAGGAAUAAGCACCGGCUAACUCCGUGCCAGCAGCCGCGGUAAUACGGAGGGUGCGAGCGUUAUCCGGAUUUACUGGGUUUAAAGGGUGCGUAGGUGGGCUUAUAAGUCAGUGGUGAAAUCUCCGAGCUUAACUUGGAAACUGCCGUUGAUACUAUAGGUCUUGAAUUAUCUGGAGGUAAGCGGAAUAUGUCAUGUAGCGGUGAAAUGCUUAGAUAUGACAUAGAACACCAAUUGCGAAGGCAGCUUACUACAUAUAAAUUGACGCUGAGGCACGAAAGCGUGGGGAUCAAACA
rnacentral:rRNA from 1 species